GACGAGGGAUCCUAGCGUUGUUCGGAAUCAUUGGGCGUAAAGCGGAUGUAGGUGGCUAUGUAAGUCAGAUGUGAAAGCCUGGGGCUCAACCCCAGAAGUGCAUUUGAUACUGCGUAGCUUGAGUGUCGGAGAGGUUACUAGAAUUGUUGGUGUAGUGGUGAAAUACGUAGAUAUCAACAGGAAUACCGGAGGCGAAGGCGGGUAACUGGCCGAACACUGACACUGAGAUCCGAAAGCGUGGGGAUCAAAC
rnacentral:rRNA from 1 species